CCUACGGGGGGCUGCAGUGGGGAAUAUUGCGCAAUGGGGGGAACCCUGACGCAGCAACGCCGCGUGAGUGAAGAAGGCCUUCGGGUCGUAAAGCUCUGUCGAGAGGGAAGAAGUCUCUAGGGAGAAUAUCUUUAGAGGUGACGGUACCUUUUAAGGAAGCCCCGGCUAACUACGUGCCAGCAGCCGCGGUAAAACGUAGGGGGCGAGCGUUGUCCGGAAUUACUGGGCGUAAAGGGCGUGUAGGCGGCUAGGUAAGUCAGGUGUGAAAACUUUUGGCUCAACCAGGAGACUGCACUUGAAACUGCGUAGCUUGAGGGUAGGAGAGGAAAGUGGAAUUCCUAGUGUAGCGGUGAAAUGCGUAGAUAUUAGGAGGAACACCAGUGGCGAAGGCGACUUUCUGGCCUAACCCUGACGCUGAGGCGCGAAAGCGUGGGGAGCAAACAGGAUUAGAUACCCCGGUAGUC
rnacentral:rRNA from 2 species